rnacentral:rRNA from 1 species
UCGGGAAUUUGGACAAUGGGCGCAAGCCUGAUCCAGCCAUGCCGCGUGUGUGAAGAAGGCCUUAGGGUUGUAAAGCACUUUCAGGAGUGAAGAAAGGCGUUGGGCGAAUAAUCUGACGUUUUGACGUUUGCUCCACAAGAAGCACCGGCUAACUCCGUGCCAGCAGCCGCGGUAAUA